UACGUAGGGCGCAAGCGUUGUCCGGAAUUAUUGGGCGUAAAGAGCUCGUAGGCGGCGUGUCACGUCGGUUGUGAAAGCCCGGGGCUUAACUCCGGGUCUGCAGUCGAUACGGGCAGGCGUUAGAGUUCGGUAGGGGAGAUCGGAAUUCCUGGUGUAGCGGUGAAAUGCGCAGAUAUCAGGAGGAACACCGGUGGCGAAGGCGGAUCUCUGGGCCGAUACUGACGCUGAGGAGCGAAAGCGUGGGGAGCGAACAGG
rnacentral:rRNA from 1 species